GAUGAACGCUGGCGGCGUGCCUAACACAUGCAAGUCGAACGGGUGUGGUAUCAGGGAAAAGGGGUUUACUUCUUUGACCAGAUAACACACUAGUGGCGGACGGGUGAGUAACGCGUGGAUAACCUGCCUUAUACAGGGGGAUAACAGGGAGAAAUUCUUGCUAAUACCCCAUAGGUAUGUCUGACGCAUGUUGGACAUAUUAAAGCUUUGGCGGUAUAAGAUGGGUCCGCGUCUGAUUAGCUAGUUGGUGGGGUAAAGGCCACCAAGGCGACGAUCAGUAGCCGGCUUGAGAGAGUGGACGGCCACAUUGGGACUGAGACACGGCCCAAACUCCUACGGGAGGCAGCAGUGGGGAAUAUUGCACAAUGGGGAAACCCUGAUGCAGCGACGCCGCGUGAAGGAAGAAGGUCUUCGGAUCGUAAACUUCUAAUCAGCAGGGAAGAAGGAAGUGACAGUACCUGAGUAAGAAGCCCCGGUAACUACGUGCCAGCAGCCGCGGUAAGAGUA
rnacentral:rRNA from 1 species